rnacentral:rRNA from 1 species
UCCACGCUGUAAACGAUGGGCACUAGCUAUUGGCAGUGUCGACCCUGCCAGUGGCGAAGCUAACGCGUUAAGUGCCCCGCCUGGGAAGUACGCCGGCAACGGUGAAACUCAAAGGAAUAGACGGGGACCCGCACAAGUGGUGGAGCAUGUGGUUUAAUUCGAAGAUACGCGAAGAACCUUACCUAGCCUUGACAUAUAUUAGAACUCCGCAGAGAUGUAGAGGUUUGGGAC